AGCACAAACUUGAAGUAGAAUAGUUGGGCAUGGUCAGCUGACCCUAUUGAUCUACUCUACUUCAAAUUUGACCCC
rfam:Haemonchus contortus, ISE/inbred ISE, WGS project CAVP01000000 data, contig: Hcontortus_32839